UUUAAAAUUAGUAGUUUUGUUUUCAAAGAGUAUAUAAAGUGUGAAGUGUUAUCACUAUGUGUAAUUUGAAUAAUUUGAAAAAAAAAGUAUUAAUUUAAAUUUGACUUAAUUUCAAUUUUUUUUUCUCUCUUGGUUGCUUGGUUACUUGCGUCUUUUACCCACCUGGGAAGAACUUUGUGGUUCUCGCAUUUGAUUUUGUUAGGGGAAAUGGAGAUUUUACUGUUCCAGUGAUCUCUCCUUUGAAGUGAAAAGGGAUGGAAGAGAUGCUAAAUUUAUCAAAUUUAGUAUUUUUAUUUUUAUAAAAAGUCAUUCAAUAAUUAUUUUUUCUCGUGCAUAGAUAUUCCUUUCAAGGCAAAAUUGUUCAAGGCGGGGUAGAAUAUCAAAGGUGAUAUCUCUGGAUGACAAUUUGAAUAUUGAAGGGUCAUGUUUCUCAAUGUCAAAAGUUUCACUUGAGCUGUGAUACAAAUAUAAUAUAUCGACAAGCAGCAGAACCAGUAUGCACUAGGAACAGAACUUAACGUGGGUGUUUGAAGAAACCAAGUUACUUGCCAGAUACGCUGUUAAAUUUGGUUGCUGAACUGUGAAGACACAAAUAUCAUGGCAAACAGUAGAAAGUUUUGUCCGUGUCCACGUUAUUAUCUUUUUGCCAACCGCGUCCAUGUUAUCUCCGAACCAAAAAACAAAAAAAAACAAUUCGUAAGUCAUGUGAUGUGAGGACGAGAACAUGGAGUAAAUGGCCACGUCUCUAUGGGAUGUAGCUGGUAUUGUUUGGACUGACUUGGACUAAAACUAAACCCAUUGGCCAUGAAAAGAUUCACCGCCGUGCAAUCAAUUAUCAAGAAACCCAAGUUCCAGUGAAAUAUUGUUGUUAUUGUGAGCUUUUUUUUUUUUUUCCCCUUUUUUCUUUUUGAAAGAACUACAGUCAGA